GGUGGAAUAGCUCAGUUGGUAGAGCAACGGAAUCAUAAUCCGUCUGUCGUGGGUUCAAGUCCCUCUUCCACUA
rnacentral:tRNA from 2 species